rnacentral:tRNA from 1 species
GAGGGUCUAGCUCAGUGGUAGAGUGCAUGCUUAGCAUGCACGAGGUCCUGGGUUCAAUCCUCAGUACUACCA